GGAAUAUCAUUUCCUUUUUAUUUUUCACGAUAAAGCUGCUCACUUUCCCUUUCUCUCAAAAAUUCUCCUUUUUCUUUUGACAAAACAAAAAUUUCUAGCAGAUCCCUUCUCCUUGCAUCAUGAAGGUCGUUCGCUUGUGGGAGCGGCGAUAUCGCAGAUGGCGUUUGUGACAUUUUUCGGUGGGGGUUUUUCGACAAUGUUCUCGGAUUCCGAUCUGUUUCUCAUCCCUUUUUCCUGCAAUUUCUUGUGCAUUUUGUUCUUAAUUUGA